UGCCCCUUACAGACCAAGGCUCGCGCACAAGACGACGUUUGUAUUACCAUCAAUGACCGGGGCAUCGAUUCGUCAUCCGAUGGCAUAUUUAAGACCAAUCAAUUCAAAAUAUCGAUCGAUUCGAUUUGGUCCGCACGUUAGGAAACCAGAGCUGCCCAGAAUAUGAGUUCGUUCACCAGCCUUGUGUACGCUGCGCUGCUAGUGGUUCUCCUAGCCCUGUCGGCGGAAGCCUUCGGAUUCUUUGAGUACGGAUACCCCAGCUUCAAUCCCUCGCCUUUCUUUUACCCCUACUACAGGGGCUAUGCGGAUGAUUUCUUUGACGACGAUUAAGUAGCCAGCAGCGAAGGAAAAAAUGAAUGUAUUCAUCCAAACUCCCUUAACCCGGAAGUACAGAAUGUAUUUCCCACAGCACCUUACAUCCUUCAAUGUUGAAUAAAAAGCUUUUUGCAAACAUG